rnacentral:snRNA from 1 species
GGAUGUGAGGGCGAUGGCUGCGACAUCUGUCACCCCAUUGAUCGCCAGGGUUGAUUCGGCUGAUCUGGCUGGCUAGGCGGGUGUCCCCUUCCUCCCUCACCGCUCCAUGUGUGUCCCUCCCAAAGCUGCGCGCUCGGUCUAAGAGGACGACCUUCCCCGAUAGAGGAGGACCGUUCUUGGGUCAAGGGUAUACUAGUAGCUGCGCUCCCCUGCUAGAACCUCCAAACAAGCUCUCAAGGGGUGGGGUAUGUGUGGCCUUUAAUCUCCAGGCAGUGGUGAGUAUUUUGAUUCUGCUAGGCCAC